rnacentral:rRNA from 1 species
UACGGAGGGCCCAAGCGUUGUUCGGAUUCAUUGGGCGUAAAGGGUGCGUAGGUGGUGCCGUAAGUCAGGUGUGAAAUCUCGGGGCUCAACCCCGAAACUGCACUUGAUACUGCGGUGCUCGAGGACUGGAGAGGAGAUUGGAAUUCAUGGUGUAGCAGUGAAAUGCGUAGAUAUCAUGAGGAAGACCAGUGGCGAAGGCGGAUCUCUGGACAGUUCCUGACACUGAGGCACGAAGGCCAGGGGAGCAAACAGG